rnacentral:lncRNA from 1 species
AUUAUCUUUUCAAACUUCUUCCAUGGGUGACCAAGUAUGUACAUAGUGGAGUUAAAAUCAUUGUACAUUUGUCAAAAUUGCCAAUAUUAUGAAAAAUAACCCAAUACAAUGAAAAACAAUCAAGGAUUGCAACUUGUGAAUACAAAUCAGAGACUUUACCAUGUUUUGAAUUACAGCAUCUUCCAAUUUCAUUACAUCAAUAGCAUCGUCUAAUAUCUCAAAUUAGUUGAACAAUGAACAUCCCAACCUUUUUCUUAGCCCCAAAUUUCAAAGCCAAAAUAGAAAGCACAAUAAAACAUAAGAGUUUAAUAAAUAAUAUACAUUGUCACCUUAAAUAAAUACCCAAUUCCGUUGCUGUAUUUUAACCAAUUUAAGAUUGAAAAUGGACUGCUGUUAGCAAAAUUGGAUAAAAUUGACCAAAGAAUCUCAACUCAAGAUAAAUUCAUGAGAAAAUGGUACCUCUUUCGGUACACAAGUUAUUGUUUCUUUUGUUAAGUAAAAUGAUAAUGUGGAGCGAAGGAGAAUAUCUUUAUUUUAAUCAAAAUAGGUAAACAAAAAGACAAGUCAAUCACACUGUUUCCUUCUUUGAAUAGCUUAAUAGGAAACAAUCUCAAGAUAUUAUGAAUAGAUAUUUCUUUUUGUACUGCUAAAGUAUUUUAGUAUGUAUUUUGUUUUACCAGUAAAAAGCUCAACAAUUGAUGCUAUUAAAAUUACUGCACUCAUAAAUUGUAACUUUAAACUUUAACUAUAUAAUAAUGAGUAUUAGUUUAAGUAAAUCAAAGAUGAAACAGAGGGAGUAAGUACCAUGACUUCUUAAGACCCUUUUUGUCAUUAGCCUUGCCUCUAAUAGUUUGGGGGUUUUUGGCCAUUCUGCUAGCCAAUUCAUUCUCAUGAUCAGAAAAGUAUAAUUGUAAGUUGUUGGGUUUUUCGUUGGAAGCGACUAAAUCAUCUAUGAAAUGAUACAUGAGUCCCUGUUCUCUAAAUCUGUACAUACCACAAUUUCUUUUCACCAAUUUUUUUAUCGUACUUCACACCAAGCGAUGUGUUCAACAUAUUAUUGUAUGUUCUAAUAUAUGUUCGAAAUGUUUAGAUUCUUCUUUUGUAUUCAAAUUUUUGUGUGCCACAAUAUGAACAGUUAGGAACCUUUUUUUAGAAUCAUAUUACUCGCUUCGCUGUUCAGUAAUAGGUGAAGUAGAUAUUAUUGGAGUAUCAAUUUAGCACAAACCUUUUGAUUGGAACUGUAUUUAAGGCCGCAUAAUGCUGAGUAGACACAUCCAACAUGCACCCUUAUGUGCAAACAAUCACAAUUUACAAUAAAGUGAUGAUCAAUAUGCCAUACUAAAAAAAUAUAAGGCAAAGAGCUGGAUUACCUGUUUCAAAGAUAGUGAAUAGGCUGCAUACUUGCUUUCCUUUAUCUAAAUUGCGCAGGAAUUGAGUCUGACAUCGUGGCUGGCAACUAGUAAUCAAAAUACAUAUAACAUGUUUAAAGGAUGAAGUUAAAAUGUAAGUAGGUAAAGUUAGAUAAGUUAGGUGUUAUACACGUUAUUAGAGAAAAUAGAUUGGCAAUGUAAAUUAGUAAUAAUGCAAAAUAUACAAUAAUGCGACGAUAAAUAGGCCAUACGAAAACAUAAUGGAAAGAGCGGGCUUACUUUUUGAGAAAUGGGCGAAGGAUUGUAUACUUUUUCCUUGUUUAACUUGUCUUGGGUUGAGUUGGUCGAACUUGGUGACUUGCAGCUGGCAAACAAAAUACAAAAGAUGUUUAAAGGCAGACUCGGUUUGUACACAUUGGCAGAGGGAACACAUUGGCAACAUUAAGUUAAUAAAAGAGGAAACCUUUCUCAGAGAGCUCCGAAGGUUCUCAGAUGAUAAGUGCAGCCUGUUUGAAAGG